AGCAGUUAACAAUAUUGAGCAUUUUUUGGGAGAAAAAAUAAGUUACAAACCUUCAAACCCUUAUGAGUUGUACGUAUUAUAUAGUAGUGUAUAUAUUAGUUAGAUUUAAAAGGUUUAAUGCUAUCUUUUACUAGUAUUUUUAAUUUGAGAUUUUUAUGCUUGAUUUGUUUGGCUGAGGUCUGUCAUAUAUAUUUUGCUCAAUCAUCGGAGAGCUAUGAGUUGGCAGAAGAAGCUUGUUCACCUCUGACUGGCUUCGUUGAAUUGCCUACUUGCCAUGUUUGUCUUGGUUAGUAUAUAUAAAUUUAUAAUUGCUAGUUUGUUUAGUAGUGAUUUGUGCAUUCUUGAUGGUGCAUUUGGGGUUUACUUUGAUUUUGGGGGUUAAAAAACUGGUGAGUUGUAGUUUUUGAUGUGUCCCCGGAGUGAGGAUUACUUGUAUUCAGUAUGUCCUUAAAAUUUUCAAUGGCAUUCUAUUCUAGCAUUUGGACACUUUCCAUUAAUUUUGUUAAAAUCUGGUAGGUUCUUAAAUUUCUCAAUGACAUUCUUUAGUGACAUUUGGCCACUGCCCACAAAUUUUGGUCUAUUUUUCAAGGUAUUCCAGAUGCAGCAGAAGUUGCAGUGCCAGUGGCUCAUUUGCUUGCAAAUCAGGCAACUCCUGAGGGGGUUGAAACACGUGCAGCAGUAGCUGCAUCCAUCUUUGGAGCACCUAAUUCAUCUCCAUUGAAUUUGUUUCCUCAGGUCCAGCAUUCUUAUAAUUGAGUUUAACCUGCAUUUCUUUUCCUUCUAUAUCUUUCUUAUAUUGUUUAAACUGAAAUAUCAUGAAACAAUUUCUGGUGGUGAUGGUAGUGGUGGACUUGGUCCCCUUGAUUUCCUUAGAAACAGCCAACAGAUAUUUCUGGAGUAGGAGUUUGCUUCUUGUGGAUUUCAUGCCUGUGAAGAAUGCCACUAAUUUUUGUUUUUGUACCACGGAGAAUGUUGAGAAAAACUUUUAAUUUUGAUUUUUGUUAUUUUGAAUUAUGAAUAACAUUAUGUAUUUAAAUAUUAUAUAUGUAUUAUGGAACAUUAUGUAC